GUGGGGAAUUUUGGACAAUGGGCGCAAGCCUGAUCCAGCCAUUCCGCGUGCAGGAUGAAGGCCUUCGGGUUGUAAACUGCUUUUGUACGGAACGAAAAGCCUCUGGUUAAUACCCGGGGGUCAUGACGGUACCGGAAGAAUAAGCACCGGCUAACUACGUGCCAGCAGCCGCGGUAAUACGUAGGGUGCGAGCGUUAAUCGGAAUUACUGGGCGUAAAGCGUGCGCAGGCGGUGAUGUAAGACAGUUGUGAAAUCCCCGGGCUCAACCUGGGAAGUGCAUCUGUGACGGCAUUGCUGGAGUGCGGCAGAGGGGGAUGGAAUUCCGCGUGUAGCAGUGAAAUGCGUAGAUAUGCGGAGGAACACCGAUGGCGAAGGCAAUCCCCUGGGCCUGCACUGACGCUCAUGCACGAAAGCGUGGGGAGCAAACAGGAUUAGAAACCCGAGUAGUCC
rnacentral:rRNA from 1 species